UACGUAGGGUGCGAGCGUUGUCCGGAAUUAUUGGGCGUAAAGAGCUUGUAGGCGGUUUGUCGCGUCUGCUGUGAAAAUCCGGGGCUCAACCCCGGACUUGCAGUGGGGUACGGGCAGACUAGAGUGUGGUAGGGGGAGACUGGAAUUCCUGGUGUAGCGGUGGAAUGCGCAGAUAUCAGGAGGAACACCGGUGGCGAAGGCGGGUCUCUGGGCCGAUACUGACGCUGAGGAGCGAAAGCGUGGGGAGCGAACAGG
rnacentral:rRNA from 1 species